UUUUUUUUUUUUUUUUUUUUUAUUGUCACCAUCUAUGCCUACGCCUACACCUACUCUUAACUUAUACUUUUGAAAUGAUCAAGCAAGAUUACGGCAAAUCGACGGAAACUAAACCACCAUUGGACCAUACGGGCGCAAGGAGGCACCCAUAUACUGCUGCAUCUGGCUGAUUGCUCCUAAGUAUAACCUAGAGGUGUCAAAAUGGAUGACUUGGGCGGGUUUGGGUUGGGUAAAAUGGAUAAUGGGUAUAAGUGAGUCAACUCAUUUAUACCCAUUUAAUUAAAUGGGUAUAAAUGGAUAAGUCAAAAAAUGAAUUGGGUAACCCAAUUACCCAUUUAUAACUCAUUUAUUUUAACUUUUUGCAAACUCAUUUAAAUUCAUUUUUGCAAACUAAGUUAUCAAUUUAUACCACUCUUUGUACCCAUCAUUAGUUUUAAAUAUUUACUUAUAAUGUUCAAUAAACUUAAUUACCAAUUUUUUUCAUUUAUACUCUAUGUCACAAAAUUACCUAUUAUUUAAUAAUUGAAUAAUACGAAUAUAAAAAUUUGAAUUAAGUACUAUAAAAAUUAAUAUAAAAACUUAAUCCAAAAGUUUUGAACCCCUAACAUUUUUUUCAUAUAUAAAUUUAAAAUUUCAUUUUAUAAAGAUAAGAAAAUAGGCUAAAAUUUAUCAUAAAUUGGUAAUGCUAAAAAAUGAGCAAGUUAACAAACUAAGAAAAAAUAAAAUAAUAAGAUAAAACCAACAAAUAAUAAUAAUAAUAAUAAUGUUGACAUCAUGACAAAAUGAAAAAUUUGAAAAAAAAAGAUAGGGGAAAAGAAGAGACCUGGGGGAAAGAGAAUUUUAAAUGGAUUAAUUGGAUUUGAUGGGUUACCCAAUAAUACCCAUUUAAUAAAUGGAUAUUGUUGGGUAACCCAUUUAUACCCAUAUAUAAAAAUUUAAGAUACCCAUACCCAUCUAUUCAUGGACGGGUAUGAGUAAAUCUAGUUAAGUGAGUUGAUUUGCCACCUCUAGUAUAACCCGAAACUGUAUAAAAUGACCGAGAGUCGCUCAACUAAGAGAAGAUUUUGUGCUAAAAAUGAAAAAACAACACAAGUAAUCCCCCAAAAGGCACCUUUUACAACGACCUUAUGGUAAUGAACAGCUACGUCUAAACAAGGUGAAAAAUAAUGGGACUUGGAUCCUCUGAAUACCUAAAAAUGUGAUUGCAGAGAAUCCAAAUGGGAAUAUUGCUAUGUACAUUUGCAUCUUAAGUGUACUAUAAAUGGGAGGAACACUGUAAAUGAUUCAUAUCUACUUUACAGGUCAACAGAAUAUGUCGUUUGAGGAUUCAUCCCAAGUAGCGCUACAAAAUUGAGCCCAGUAACCAAAUAUGCAACAAGAGCCAAUAAGCAAUAAGACCUAGCCUCGCCCUCGGAUGACUCAUUAAAGCUCUACCACCAGACACCCUGGACAAAGUGGAAAUUCAGGUGUUAGAUAAACCCAAAUAAGAGGUAGAUUAGCACAUCAACCAAAAUAUACAACUCAAAUACUAGUUACAAAAGUAAAAAUUUGAUAAAUUGACCGGAUGAUAGGCUGAAAGGAUUGAGAAAUGCAAAAUGACCACGCGCAAGCAUAGAGUAAGAGUGCCGUGGAUUGAAGCCCCUCAAGUAGGUUUUGCAAGUCAGACAAGUAGAAUAAACUAUUGAAGAAGCAAUAAUUAACUGCCAAGCAAGUCCAAGUAAUAUACCAAAUUCCAUCAAUUCUAUCUGCAAUCAUCUUCCCUUGUCUAGGAAUGAGACCUGAUGUAUUAAGCGACUUGAACACAUGGCCUGCGUUUUGAGAGUCCACCAAAAGUUAACAGACACUCAAUAUCUUGAGGCAUUCAUGGUAACCAAUCAGAAGUUUACAGUGUAAAAAAGAAAAGAAACCUUUAUCUUCAUCAGCUUGUUCAUUGUUUGCCAAUCUUUCAGAUUCAGGAUCUAUACUGAUUGCAAGGUGAUCGCUUGAGCCCUUUCGUAAUGUUCGCACAUGAGCAGCUGAUGGGACAGAUGAUACAGCCACAUUUUUACCUUGCCCCUGCAGUAAUGGAUCAUAAUGAAUUACAACUCAACUCAUAAAUCUCAGAAUCUGAGGAACAAACAACUUAUUCCUGCAAGAGGACCAAAAUAAAAAAUGUUGAACAUUCCUUGUAGUACGCCAUUAUUCUAAAGCACAGAACUGACGAUCAUGUGACUAACAUCAAUUUAAGCAAGCACAUUCAGCUGAACAGCUAUAAGAACAAGAAGGAAAGUGAAACACAAAAAGCGAAGAGGGGCAAAUGGAGGAACACCAUAAACUCCAGGCAUGUAAUGCUAACCAAGUCCACGUAUAGAAAAGAACUCAUGACUCUACAAGAGGCAUGCCCCACAGGGGUAGAAGAGAUCGUUAGCACUACAAUCAAUCACCGAAGUUCUCCAGGACAACCAAAGAGAAGAAAGAAAGAGUCUCAAGAUAAUAGAAUCCCCAACAUGCAUCCCUCCAAAGUCAUUAAUAUUAGAAGGUGGGAGGGGAAUAUUGAAGGAAGAUGUAUGAAAUAAAAUGUGAAAUUUGGGCAACAAAGAGUUACCAGCUCCUGGAUUUCUGAUAUUUCUGGCUGAGAAUUAGAGGAAGACAGUUCUGAAAUGCCUUUCUCCUUGAUAGUCUCUGGGAAAGCCACCCCACCAUGACUAGAACCUUCCAGUAACUUCACCUUGCUGGACAAUUCAUCCACAAACUUUUCCGUACUAAGCAAUUUGGUACUGAGUUCAUCCGUUUUUGACUUUAGAUUUACUGACUCCGCCUUUGUAGCCAUGACCAUCAUAUCUAGUGCUGACAGUAAUCCGGUCACAUGAGCUAUUUUCUCACCGCCAACCAACUUAUCACCUCCCAAUUUCUGAAUAAUACUCUCCAAACCCAGGGCAAGCUCAUUCCUCAUCCUUUCAGAUUCUUGCUUCUCUCUAACAUAACCUUUAACUUCUUCAUUUAGAUGCUCAACAGCAGUAACUUGCUUUUCAAGCAUUGACUGCAGAUUUUCUUUUUCUUGUGCCUCUGAGUUUAUCUUGUCCUUUAAUCCAUUAAAAUUAUCAAUAAUGUAAAAGAGCUUUUGUACAUCAGUAGAAUAAGUGGUCUCCAAGUCUUCAACUUCAGGCUCAGGGAAUGAGAUGCCAAUAGCACUUAUCUUGUUAAAGAGGGAUUUGAUUUGAGAUGCUGACAAGGAAAACUCUUGAGCCUCUGAAACAAAAAAAAUGUGUAAAAUUUGAAUUAUAAAAGAAAAUGGAUAAGAAUUAAAAUUAAAAAAAGUUGGCACGUUGAAUAAAUCUAACAAAAUUUAGCAAAUGAAUUUACCAUGAACAUUUUUUGGUGAAGUUGAAUGCGCUACUAAAAGUUCCGUUUCUCUCUCCUUCAACAUAGGCUGUCUAGCCUCAUGAUCCUCUAUCUUAAGCUUCAUUUCUCUACACAAGUUUUCUGCUACUUCUAAAUCAGUCUCUAGCUUAGAGAUUUUCUUUUGGUUUAGAUCCCUUUCUUCUAAAAGGUUCCCACAUGUUGUCUUGGUUUCAAUCAAUUGAUUCUGCAAGUCUUCAACUGUAGAGACCAUCAUAUUUUUCAUACCAUGAAAAUGCUUAAUAAAAUUUCGACAAUGGCUAGUAGCAAGCAACAGCUUCUCAGCUAUAUGUACAUACUUGUUGCCUUCACUCUUUAGGUCAUGGUCAAUUAGUGCAUCUUGACCAAAUGCUUCAAGUUCUGUGGAAGAAUUUUCCAGUAUAGAGACAGAACUUAGUUCCGAUAAGUUAUUUUCAACUUCUAGCUCCAACUCUUCAGUAGCCUUAGUACAGGCAGACAGAAGAAUUUCCAUAUCACUUUCUAACAUGGCCACUGUGUUCUCUUGUGCUUGCCUAUCCAUUUCAACAUCAUUCGCUCUGUGCUUCAAAGAUCUAACGAGCUCGCGUGCAACAAUUACACCAUCCUUGGCUACCUGCAAUCUUUUCAAAAGAGCCAAAAUGAAGUCAUCCAAAAUCCCAGAGCAGCUACCGAUUUUCUCAGCAAGAUUCUUAUCUCUUAAACGCAAUCCUUCAAGAGUUUUCUCAAAAUUCAAAGUAACAUUCUCAUCAUCUACUGCAUUUAGCUGUACAUUAACCAUUUCCAUCUCCAAAGCAUUGUCAAGGCCAUCUGGUGAAAGAGUCGAGACAGAAUAAUCAUCCUAUAGAAAAGAACAAAGAAUCCAUACAUCUUGUUAAACAACAAUCAGAUGUGAAAAGAACCACGCUAAGGGCUUAUUCAGUAUAAACAAACAAGUAAUUCAGAAACCAAAAGAUCUGCCUAACAAUUAAAAGCAAGCAUGAGAGGUAAGGAGCACAAACAGCUCAGAAACUUGACUAGAAGGCCCAACUAUGUAAUUUCAUUGAAAGCCCCAAAACAUCCAGAUACAUGAAAAGUUGAAAAAUUAGUUCCUUUAUAUCUAUUCAAUGAUCAAGAAAUUUGCAAAACAGAAGAAAAAUUUCAGACAAAAGACAAGAUCUGAAGUACAUGCUCUGUUGGUUUAGUAAGGCUCAAAUAUUGAGUCGGAUAAUGCUGGCAUGUAGACACGGCAAUAAGUAAUCUAAAUUCAACCCAAAAGGAAAAGAUUACCUCCAUGACAGGGAAACUUUGUAGCAUGUCAGGACCAAUCAUAUCGAAGAAGCAAUCCCUCAUUUCUUUAAGGAUAUUAUUCAUAUCCCCUAGGCUCUCAAUUUUGUCCUUAAAACUCUUUUUCAGUAAAGAUAACAAACUAUCAUCCCUUAGAAUCAUCUGAAUACUGGUAAGAUAACCAGAGAUUUCCCUAGAACUAUUUGCAAUGCCGCCAUGGAAUCCCUCCAACUCCUGCAAACAAGCCUGUAACUUGGAGUUAAGGGCUGAAAUCUCAUGUUCUGCAUUUUUGUUCUCUUUAACGAGAUCGGAUAUUUUAUUUUCUGCACCCAAUCUUGCAUCAUCCAGUGACUUUAUAGUCAUUGCAGCAUCGGCAAGUUUGUUAGCCUGUGAAUCAGCUUCAGCUUUCAGCUUCUUCAUAUCCUCCUCCAAAUCACUUCUUCCAAUUUGCGUCUUAUUGUUUUCCUCGGCAAGCACUGAUAAAUUUUUCUGUGCUUCAGAUAAUGCAUCUUCUAGGGAUUGUAUGGUAACUUCAGCAUCAGUAAGCCGGCUAGCCUGGAUGGAAUUCUCCUCCUUCAAUUUCUGAAGCUCCAUUUCUAUGGCUGCUCUACUAACCAGAGAGUCUUCUUUUUCCUUUGCAAGGUUAGAGAUAUUAUCCUCGGCCACUGUCAAAGCAUCUUCAAAUGAUCUUAUAGUAGCAGAAACCUCGGCAAAUUUACUCUUUUGGGAAGCAACUUCCAUCAGAGAUUUCUGCAAUUCCUCCUCACUUUGAAUUUUAGCAACUUCUAGUUCUCUCUUUUCUUCAAGGACCUGCGAGAUACUGUUUUGUGCAUCUAACAAAGCGUCCUCGAGUGACUUCAUGGAUGUCUCAGCUUCCACCAACUUGCUUAUUAAAGUGAUGGUUUCUUCUUUCAGUUUCUCCAACUCUUCUUGUGAAUUUUGGCAUUCGUUCAAGUAUCCUGAAAGCCAUUGUACCUUCUCAACUGGCUCUUUAAAAACUAAAUUAGAAGGGUGGUCAAUGCUAUCAAUAGACUCUAUGACUUUCUGCAACAUGUUGUUACUCUCCACCAAGAACUGCUCAAGUUGAUUCCUUUGUUCCUUAGUAGCAAAAAGAUCAGUUUCCAACUUCGGAAUGCAAUCCAUAUCAGCUUCUAGCUUAUUAAUCUGAUCCCUGCAGUCACUGCAUGCAGAAAUUUGAUCUUGCAACUCAGAUGUUAACCUCUCUACUUCAGUAUUCUUCUCAUCCAAAAGUCUUCUCAAAUUCUCUCUUUCUUGAACAAGACCCUUGCCCUUUUUAACUGCCAUAGAUAACUUUUCCCUUAUUAAAGCAACUUUUUCCUCAGAUCUUAUAAGCUCCUUCUCUAAAGACACCCUCUCAUCUUUCAGUGCAUGAAGUUCUUGAGUCACAACACGCAACUUUUCUGAAACCUGCUUCAUUUGUGCGCUAUUAAGCAUUUCUUCCUCCAAUAGAUGCUCAUAUAGCAUCACCUCCUGAGUUCUAACGUAGAGAAGGCUCUGAAAUCUUUCUAAGAUUUUUACUUGACUAUAUGAAGAUUCAAAAGAUGCCUCACCUUCUUCUUUGAUCUUUGCUAUCAUCUUGGCUAUAUCACACUGUGAAAUAUUAACCUUUUCCAGAGAAUUUGUCAUCCCAGAAGCCUCAAGCAGCAUACUAACCAUUUGAUCCCUUUCACAUGCAACUUGAUGCUCUUUUUUGAAUACCCCGUCGUAUUUGCUUCUCAAGUCCUCCAAUUCCUCCUGCAGGUAACUCUUUUCCUGUGUUUCUGCCAAAACUGAUUGAACUAGGCGAUCAACCUCUUUGCUUGAGGCUACUCUUAUUUCAGCUAUCUCUUCUUGCAACUUCAUGGCUUCUUCUUUGGCUGUAGAGAAUGACUCAACGAGCCAUUUGAGCCUAGUUUCCAUAUCAUUUGCUAACAAGUUUUCAGGAAAAUUAAUUGACGAUAGAGCAUCUGAUACAUUUUGGAACUCUAUGGUCACACCGUUGAGUGCAUUCCUCUCAUCUACAAUCCAUCUGAGUUUUUCAACUAAGUCAAAAGACUGAAUAUCAUCAGCUCCAGCAGCAGGUGAUAAAAUUUCCCCACAUUUUUGAAGCACUGAAUCCUUUUGAGCAAGAGACUCCUGUAGGUGAAUGGCCAUACUUUCACUUUUUAUCAACAAGUCCUUACUCUGUUCUGCAAAGCCCAGUGCAUUUGACUUCUCUUGCAGUUCAAUCAAACAUUUCUCAAGUUCACUUGUUUUGUCUGCUAGCGCUUGUUUCAGUGAAUCUCGCUGCUGCACCAGAGCCUUUCCCUUUGUCACAGCCAAGCUAAGCUUCUCUUUAGUGUUAGCAUACCUUGUCUUCUCCUGCUCAAUUUCCACAUUAAGUUUUCCAAUUUCUGCAUUUGCACUCUCAAUGACUGCUUUGUCCUUAUCAAGUUGUUCUACCAGCUUUGCAUUUUCAUUUUGGAAAUGGAUUACUUUUUCUUCCAAAUCCACUUCUUUCAUUUUAAGUUCAUGCAGCUUAACACAUGCACUCAUGAAUACUCCUACUUCAUCCUCCAUAUGAGUAUCUGGUGUCAUGUCACUCAAACACAGUUUAAGUCUGCCAAUUCCUGAAAGAAAUUGAUUAUGUUUUUCAAUUAAAAGUGAGAUGCUUUUCUCAAUAUGAGAAAAUUUCUCUCCAGCAGAGUCAUCCAAGAAUCCUCCUACUUGGGAAACUGACACAGGAAGGGAAGCUAAAAUUCUAUUUGCAAUCUCCUGAAUCAUGUGUUCUCUCUCAACCUGUACUUCAGAUGUCCAACAACCAGCUUCUUGCACUGAAUUUAAGUACAAAACUGUCACCUCACGCGAAAUGGUGAACUCUGUAAUCUUUGAAUUAAGAUCCUCAAUUUCAGAAUCCUUCAUUUGUAAGGAAGCAUGGAGUUCUUUGAUGGAAUUUUCAGUCUGAGAAUAGAGACCCAUGGCACUGUUAAGAAACUCUGAGCAUUCAGUCACGAUCUGAUGCAGUGACGCAUCAGAUGCCAGACUCAUCUCAUCCCCAUCUCCUAACCCUGGUUUAUCAUGAUGAUCAGGGUACGCUACAGACACCUUCUCAAGCAAUGGAUUCUGAUCAUUCAGAGACUUUAGUUGAUAAUGAAGGUAACCAAGUUCUCCCUUUAAAUUUUCUCU
rnacentral:lncRNA from 1 species